rnacentral:rRNA from 1 species
CCUACGGGAGGCAGCAGUGAGGAAUAUUGGUCAAUGGGCGGAAGCCUGAACCAGCCAAGUAGCGUGCAGGAUGACGGCCCUACGGGUUGUAGACUGCUUUUAUACGGGACUAACGCGCCUUACGUGUAGGGCUUUGCAUGUACCGUAUGAGUAAGGACCGGCUAAUUCCGUGCCAGCAGCCGCGGUAAUACGGAAGGUCAGGGCGUUAUCCGGAUUUCUUGGGUUUAAAGGGAGCGUAGGCCGCAUGUCAAGCGUGCUGUGAAGUGUCCGGGCUCAACCCGGGCCUUGCAGCGCGAACUGGCGUGCUUGAGUCCGCGGAAAGCAGGCGGAAUUCGUCGUGUAGUGGUGAAAUGCUUAGAUAUGACGAAGAACCCCGAUUGCGAAGGCAGCUUGCUGCAGCGGAACUGACGCUGAUGCUCGAAAGCGCGGGUAUCGAACAGGAUUAGAUACCCGAGUAGUC